GAUGAACGCUGGCGGCGUGCCUAAUACAUGCAAGUCGAGCGAACGGACGAGAAGCUUGCUUCUCUGAUGUUAGCGGCGGACGGGUGAGUAACACGUGGAUAACCUACCUAUAAGACUGGGAUAACUUCGGGAAACCGGAGCUAAUACCGGAUAAUAUUUUGAACCGCAUGGUUCAAUAGUGAAAGACGGUUUUGCUGUCACUUAUAGAUGGAUCCGCGCUGCAUUAGCUAGUUGGUAAGGUAACGGCUUACCAAGGCAACGAUGCGUAGCCGACCUGAGAGGGUGAUCGGCCACACUGGAACUGAGACACGGUCCAGACUCCUACGGGAGGCAGCAGUAGGGAAUCUUCCGCAAAGGGCGAAAGCCUGACGGAGCAACGCCGCGUGAGUGAUGAAGGUCUUCGGAUCGUAAAACUCUGUUAUUAGGGAAGAACAUAUGUGUAAGUAACUAUGCACAUCUUGACGGUACCUAAUCAGAAAGCCACGGCUAACUACGUG
rnacentral:rRNA from 1 species